UGGACAUAUAACUCAGUUGGAUAGAGUACCACGUUGACAUCGUGGAAGACACUGGUUCGAAUCCAGUUAUGUUCAU
rnacentral:tRNA from 1 species